GCCGGCAUAGCUCAGUUGGCCAGAGCACGUGAUUUGUAAUCUCGGGGUCGUGGGUUCGAAUCCCUCUGCCGGCUCCA
rnacentral:tRNA from 4 species